GGGUUAGAGUGUGGGGGUGUGUGUCACCACCUGUCUCUUGCGGUGAGCUGAUGCCAGCCUUAUGCAGAUGUGUCCCUCUCUCCCCCUCUCUCCCUUCCUCCUCACCCCUCUGAUGGAUGCUCCUGCUUCACGGUGAUCCAAUCGCGUCGCUCGCGGGCGUCUGAGCAGGUUUCUAAUUGGAUGCUGAGGAGAACCAUUAGCUCGCUGGUAUUGUCUCUCCAGCGCGCAGCAUAUUGAUCCGUCUGUCAGGGGGAGAGCGCCUGGGUUCGGCCCGAUUAUUAAUUAUUGAUAACGUCGUGCCAAGGGGCGUUUUGAUGGUGUGUUUGGAGGGAGGCUGCUGGUAGUUUGAACAUGCUGUGUGUGUGUGUGUGUGUGUGUGUGUGUGUGUGUGUGUGUGUGUGUGUGUGUGUGUGUGUGUGUGUGUGUGUGUGUGUGUGUGUGUGUGUGUGUGUGUGUGUGUGUGUGUGUGUGUGUGUGUGUGGGGAACAUGGUGUGUGUGUGUUCGAACAUUGUGCGUGUGUGUGUGUGUUUGAACAUGGUGUGUGCGUGUGUGUGUUUGUUUGAACAUGAUGUGUGUAUCUGCAUGUGUGUGUGUGUGUGUGUGUGUGUGACGGGUUUGGUUUGACAUUCUCACGGCGGAUGUGCGUGCUGUUAUUAAAGUAUCAGCAGACAGCGUUGCUAACUGUAUAUUCUUCAAUAUUUAGCUUCGGUAAUUAAUAACUCUGACCUUCGGGCUCCCACUGGUGCUGGCGUGCCGACGUGUUUAUCCCAGGCCCGGACUGUGUGUGAGAGGACGCUGGCAUUUGGGAGACGUGUGCGUGCCGGGGACUCCUUUAAAGAGGUGUUCUGCCACAUAUACAGUCCCCUUUACACUGCGUGUGUGUGUGUGUGUGUGUGUGUGUGUGUGUGUGUGUGUGUGUGUGUGUGUGUGUGUGUGUGUGUGUGUGUGUGUGUGUGUGUGUGUGUGUGUGUGUGUGUGUGUGUGUGUGAGAGUGAACUACUAGCUGACGUUUGAAUCUCCCAAGGCCUCAGGAUUACUGCAGCACCAGCGAAACGUUCCUCUGGUUCUCUCAACUGUUUUAUUUUGUCGAUGCCUUUGCCCUUCUUGGAGCGUACACUGCCUGUGUUCUGCUUGUCGUCAGGACGCGGCCCGUAACAUUUGUUUUACUUUUUAACGGAGUGUUUCUCUGGCGUUUAUAAGGACGCUUGUUAAAGUUUGGAUUUUUGAACAACGCCCCGUUAAAGAAGCUUCCAGAGGUCUUUGGCGAGAUGUUUAAUUUGGGCUCGACGCCCACGGCGACAGAAUUAUGAGUUUCUGAAUAUAUUCACAUUUUUUUAUCUCCUUUAUUUUGUUUUUAUUCGUGUGUCACUCUGACGCGUGUUUUUCUGACCCUUACCCUGGACUAGUCCGAGGUAACGCCGUCUUUCUGUUCCUCGUCAGUUGUUUUCAGUUCCAUUUAUUUUCUAUUCAAUUUGAAUCAGGAUUCUGAGGCCCUGGGAAAAUUGAUAUCCAAUUUUCACCCACCUACUGCACUAAUACAUAAAAUAUACCUAAUAUACUACACUUGGAGCUAUUGGUUUGCAUUGAAGUAAACCCCAUACAGACAGGCUUAAGCCCUUUGCUUCCUCAUGUUAUUUCACUCUGAGGAGCGUCUAUUUAUAUUCAUGCCUGAAAAAGAUUUAAAAGAAUUGAUGAUCAAAGAGAAAAAAAUCGACCCCGCGAUUCGCAAAUCUCAAUCCGGCGAAUCAAAGGCCGUACCUUUUGAUUACCUGAAUAAAGGUUAUUCAAAAUGAACUGGAAACAGAACAGGCCGCCACCUUGGUCCCGCCCCCUGCUGUGCGUCCCUUCUGGUUGGCGUGGCGAUACCGAGAGGGGUCAUCGUUGUUACGUCAUAGUUAGCCGGGGCUAGCUCUCCGUACAUAAGGCCUGAAUUUUUUUUUUGUUUGGUUCCGGUUUCUGACCGACCCUGUAAUAUAUAUAUUUUUUUUUUAUGCAAACUAUGGCUGCAUCCGAAUACUUACUAGUAUUCGGAACACUUACUAGUACAUACUAUUUCUGUCCAGUGUCUACUACUUGACCAUACUACACUUGACUGUGUAGUACGGUCUACAGCCUCCGAACGCUUCCGAACAUCGCCGAAACUCCACCGGAAGUUUGGAGAUGACGUAUCUCCCCUCAGAUGCCGGCAAAAUUACCUUGAUAAGUUACCUGUUUUCCGUCUUGUCAUCGUUGCUAUUAAAUUAAAAAUGUCUCUUUUUACUUAAUUACUUACUUUACUAUUUUACUCUUUUUAAUGUCUCUUUUUUUCGCCGCUUUCUACGACGUCUUUCUGGUGGUGACGAGUCAGCCAUCUCUUCUUCGUUCGUUACUAGACUCCUGUUGCAUUGUGGGAUAGCGUAGUGAAGUCCGUGGUUUACUUUGGCGGUAGUACGCAUUCGGAAACGUCUUCCGUACUACAGAAUGCAUACUGAGUAUUCGGACGCGCUAUAUUUUUUGCGUACUACAAAAUGCAUACUAUAUAGUAUGCAAGUAUGAGUAUUCGGAUGCAGCCUAUAAUUACGUUUUGGUACAGCACCUCUUCAUUCUGUACAAAGAUGAGCGAAUUUUCUCGUUUUUAAAUGAAAACAACCUACCUAUCAUUCGCUGCCGCUGAAAAAAAAAAAAAAAUAAAAUAAAAUAAAUUCCCUACCUACCCAUGACCUCAACUGACAACCAACAGGAACCAAACUUUUUUUUUUUUUAGGCCUAGCAUACACCGCUAACGUGUGUGUGUGUGUGUGUGCGUGUGCGUGUGUCCAAGCGGUAUUCAAUAACCUACGUCCUCUUUUUCCCCGCCGCGGUAUGCUAAUACACCAGACACGUGCGCGGGACUAGCACGUGCACAGACUGGAGGGGCUGUGCAAACAUUGAGGCCCCCCCUGACCACAUUACCGCUAAAGUAAGCAACCAUUACGUCCAAUAACACGGCCCCAACUCGGAGGAACCACAGAACGGAGGGGGGGGGGGGGGGGGCGGAUAGAAGCUUCUGUUCCUCUUCACUAUCAUCUAGCUCACCACUGCAGAGUCUCUCAACCAAGGGUUCAGAGACAGGUCAUCAAGGAGCAGGUAAGGGUUAGACAGUGAAUACAGAGACAGGUCAUCAAGGAGCAGGUAGGGGUUAGACAGUGAAUACAGAGACAGGUCAUCAAGGAGCAGGUCGGGGUUAGACAGUGAAUACAGAGACAGGUCAUUAAGGAGCAGGUAGGGGUUAGACAGUGAAUACAGAGACAGGUCUUCAAGGAGCAGGUCGGGGCUAGACAGUGAAUACAAAGACAGGUCAGUGAGGAGCAGGUAGGGGUUAGACAGUGAAUACAGAGACAGGUCAUCAAGGAGCAGGUAGGGGUUAGACAGUGAAUACAGAGACAGGUCAUUAAGGAGCAGAUAGGGGCUAGACAGUGAAUACAGGCCCCAGAACCGUUAGACUGAGAGUCCGAACCCCCUAACCACCGCUAGAAGGCCCUCCCCACCCGGGUGCUGAGAGCCAGGCAGAGGGGCAGAGCACUGGGACUCGGCCCAGCACGGGGCACCUAUACCUGGCUUCUUGGAGCCAUGUCAAGCCCUCAUGCUUUCUCUGCCAGGACAACUCACACACGCACACACAAGCACACACACGCACGCACGCAUGCACGCGCACACACACACACACACAUGCACACACACACACGUGCACAAGCACACACAGAUAUACACGCACGCACACACACGCACAGACACACACACACGCACAAGCACACACAGAUAUACACACGCACGCACGCACGCACACGCAUGCACGCACGCACGCGCACAUGCACCCACACACACACACGCACACUGGUCAUGCAUCAUCUCUGUGUGUAGUUGUAGAUUAGGUGGAGGCUUUCUCAUGCUACACCACCGGGCUGCAACUCACACACGCAUACACACACACACGCACACUCUCUCAAAUAACCACAUAAACAUGUGCACACAAACACACUGCACACUUGGACACGGUUAUCGAUAUAGACAAUACUCAAAAAGAGCAUGCACACACAGGGACACGCAAACAUGAAUACACACACACACACACACACACACACACACAC